UACAGAGGUCCCGAGCGUUGUUCGGAUUCACUGGGCGUAAAGGGUGCGUAGGUGGUUGGGCAAGUCUGAUGUGAAAUCUCCGGGCUUAACCCGGAAAUGGCAUUGGAAACUGCUUGGCUAGAGUGUUGGAGGGGGGACUGGAAUUCUCGGUGUAGCAGUGAAAUGCGUAGAUAUCGAGAGGAACACCAGUGGCGAAGGCGAGUCCCUGGACAACGACUGACACUGAGGCACGAAAGCUAGGGGAGCAAACAGGAUUAGAAACCCCCUGGUAG
rnacentral:rRNA from 1 species